rnacentral:misc_RNA from 1 species
CGGAAAUACCGAAGCAAGCAACACUCCAAAUACACUAUUUCUGCAGAAAUGGCUUGUCACUCAAGUUAAAAACAAGUAGAACAAAUCGAUUCUCAGUCAGUUCUUAGCUAUCCCGGACUCUCAAAGCUGUGACGAAUCAGAUCGAAGAUGUUUCUCACUAGAACCGAGUAUGAUAGAGGUGUCAACACUUUCUCGCCCGAAGGAAGGUUGUUUCAAGGGAAAGCUAUGACUGAUAUGG